AUUGAACGCUGGCGGCAGGCCUAACACAUGCAAGUCGAGCGAGCGGCGGACGGGUGAGUAAUGUCUGGGAAACUGCCUGAUGGAGGGGGAUAACUACUGGAAACGGUAGCUAAUACCGCAUACCAUCAGAUGUGCCCAGAUGGGAUUAGCUAGUAGGUGGGGUAACGGCUCACCUAGGCGACGAUCCCUAGCUGGGCUGGGAGGAUGACCAGCCAAACUGGAACUGUGACACGGUCCAGACUCCCACGGGAGGAAGCAGUGGGGAAUAUGGGACAAUGGGCGAAAGCCUGAUGCAGCCAUGCCGCGUGUGUGAAGAAGGCCUUCGGGUUGUAAAGCUCUUUCAGUGUGUAGGCGGUACCCGCAGAAGAAGCACCGGCUAACUCCGUGCCAGCCGCCGCGGUAAUUC
rnacentral:rRNA from 1 species